rnacentral:lncRNA from 1 species
ACAGUGCUUCACAAACAGCAGUUUUUCAGCCUGUUUGAAUUUUUUUCACAGACACAGAACCAGAGGCACAAAGCAGGUAAGUUUAAUGGCAAAGGCACCAACUGGGAAUCAGUGAUAAGCCCUCAUUUAGAAGAAAGUUCCUUCCUUUUAUUUAAUCUCUACAAUGUUAAAUGAGUUUUUAUAACACUUUCCUUUAAUUAAAAAAUCAUGUAAUGUUUUUAGGAAUCCAAUCGAUUUAAACAAUUUAGUUUGUCCUUUGUUUACUGUAUUUAAAUUUAAAGGACAUGUUAGAAAGCUGUUAUGAAAUUUGGCACUGUAAUUUAUUGAAUAAAUUAUUUAUUUGGGGGGAAGAAACCAAAAGUGUCCCCCAGCUAUUUUGUUAAAUUCUUGAGAGUUUAAGGUCUUCAUACUCUGAAAGCAGCUGUUAAACAAAAUAAACUUCAUGCAGGAAGUAGUGAAAUUUAAUUUCAUACAAAACUCAAAAAGGAUGAAAAGAAACUUAAAAAGCUUAUUCUCAACACCAAGCUCCUGUAUUAAUACUGAGAAUUGAUUCACCUCAUGUAGGAGGUGUAAGAAUCCCAUUGGUUUUGGGUUUAAAUUCUUCACUAAUAUUAAAUAUUCCAUACAAGUUUUUUUAUUAUAUUUUUUUUAAUGUAUAGUGCAGGAAUGUAUUAUUUUCUCUCUAUGCAGAACACUCAGCCAAAACUAGAUGUUUGAUCUAUGCAUCCAUCCUGAGGCUACGUUUUGCAGAACAGGGGAGGUUCUGCAGAUGCCCUGUUUAAUUAGAGAAGCCAAUGAUCAGGAGGAAAACAAAAAUGAAAUCACCAUCAGCCAGUUCAGCCCCAUGGAUACAGGUCAUCUUGCUAUAAACAAAGCUUAUUAACUGGAUAUUUUCAUGUAAGUAGAAUCUCAAGAUUAUUUUUUUUCUGUGAAGGUGAUACCAUCCUUUAGGUAUUUUUUUAAAACUUCAAAUUCCUUUCCUUCUGCCUGUAUCUCAUCUUUCUCCUAU